GGCGGUGCGGGGCGGGGGCACCUUCCAGCCAGUGGGGCUUCACACAAAUGGAUCAACGGCUGCCAGACGCCUGCAAAUGUAAUACGAGUCAGACAAGAGGGACUGCAAGACGGAGGUGCCACAGGCAGAUGACUACAGCAGAUGCCUAGUUCUACAUGAGGAAGGAAACUUCUUAGAACAGUGUCACAGCAGCUGUAACAGCUGGGUCUUGACAGACGAGGAGGAAGCAGACGCUGACACAAAACAGGGGUGAAAAGCCCUGAAUGCUCUCAUUCCAGCCUCCACGCUCCAGCUCCAGGCAGAGAAACGUCUCCACACCUUAAAACGGGGAGUGACACGCUGUGGAUUCUUUAAUGCGGAUACACAAACGUAAAAACACCCAACCAAACAGCUCAGCCCAAAAAUGUCCAAUC